AUUACUUCAGGUCACAGACAUUAGCAAUGGAUGUCAGAUUCCAACACCCAGCCAAUCACAUGACGCCACCGUCAAAUUGAAGAAAUACCAGCAUCACUGAGGCUGGCGACCAUGGAGGCGAACGCAAACCCUACGGAACUUUUGCUGGAUCAUAUCUUUGAUAGACUCCUUGACCGUUUGGAGCACUUGGUCGUACACAUCAUCCAAUUCCUGAACCCCACGGUGCCUUGACAGAGGGUGUACAGAUUCCCGAAAUUGAAUGGGAGGACAGCGGGCUUCCUCUUCCCGAAGAGUCAAAUGUCACAGUACCAAACUCUAAUUUGCAACCGACUGACGAACAAAUGGCAGUCUUAAGAAAUACAGUAAACCCAAAAGCCACAUCACUGUCUUCUGGAUGUGACAUUUAUAUUGCUGCUGUUCAAUUUUGCGAGCAGUGUUUUACUAUGUGAAAGUUGUCCAGUUUACGGAACCGUAUUGCUAUCACACAGGGAAAAACAAUUUGAGCAAAAUGCUGAGAAAAGGAGCAAAAUGCUGAUCAUGUUACCACAAAGAUAUCCUGAAAUGCAGCAAUUGGUUUCCUUUGAGCAGUCGUCAUCUUCAUCACUUCCGUCAUCAGUUUCUGGCCAAGUGAUAUGCUGAAGUACCACCUAAGUUUAGUAGGCAACAUGAACUCUGAGAAGCAGCGGUCCCAACCAAUGUUCUGUUAAGACGGAGAGCAGAGCUGACAAUAGAUUUAUCAGACAAGUCCACUGUUUAAAUAAUUGUGUCAUUAUGAGGAAUUACCUCGUUAUGCGUUAUGCUCUCAUCAAUGUGAGCUGUUUUCCGGCCCAAUCCCGCUCUCAUGUGUAUCCGUUGAUCAUCUUCUUUUGCCGUUUUUUCGUAAUGUUUUGGCAGUAAAUAAAAAAGUACAUCUAAA